rnacentral:lncRNA from 1 species
UUUUUUUUUUUUUUUUUUUAAGAUUUUAUUUAUUUAUUCAUGAGAAAUACAGAGAGAGAGACACACACACAGAGAGGCAGAGACACAGGCAGAGGGAGAAGCAGGCUCCAUGCAGGGAGCCGGACGUAGGACUCGAUCUCGGGUCUCCAGGAGGACACCCUGGGCUGAAGGUGGCGCUAAACCAUUGGACCACCCGGGCUGCCCAGAGUGUGAGCUCUUAAUUAGUAAAGAGCAAGUUUAAAAAAUGUUAUAAUCUCCUAGAGCAGAGGUGGCAAGCUUUUUCUAUAAAAGGCCAAGAUGAACAUGCUAGACUCUGCAGGCUAUAUAUUUUGUUAUAUAUUCUUUUAUUUUUGUCUUUCACAAGCCUUUAAAAAUGGAAAACUUGUUGUUAGCUUAAGGUCCCUACAAAACUGGCCACAGGUUAGAUUUGGCCCUUGGCCAUAGUUUGCUAACCUUUGUCCUAGAGAAUUAGAAGGUCUUUGGGUAAACCUAUUAACAGUGUUUUGGCAUGAUGUUGAAAGAAUACACAUUUAUCUUCUUGUCCACAUUUGCAAGUUUUAGGUAAUUUACAAAUAUGUAAUCAUCAAAACAAAGCUUGUCUUUAUACCAACUGAAAUUGUCCCUGUGACCCCAUUGCUGGGUGAAGCAUACUUUGGGAAACAGGAUUACUUGCUACCCUGGGCUCCAAGAGUUUCCCUCCAGCAGUUCAGAUUAAACAAAUCCCUAAUCUUUGGUUCAUUACUUUACUUACACCUACGAUAAGAUUUGAGACCUGCCCAAGCCAACGUGGAUGGAGAUACCUAUCCCCUUGCAGCAAUACUUUCACAAAGCAUGUUGGCAGCUUAAGACCUUUUUUAUUUUUUAUUUUAUAAAGAUUUUUAUUUAUUUAUUCAUGAGAGACACAGAGAGAGGCAGAGAGAGAGGGAGAGGGAGAAGCAGGCUACAUGCAAGGAGCCCAAUAUGGGACUCGAUCCCGGAACUCUGGGAUCGCGCUCUGAGCUGAAGGCAGACGCUCAACCACUGAGCCACCCAGACAGCCCUAAGAUCUUUUUUAAAGUUUAAUUUUUCCCAUUCAUUCAUCUAUUCCUUGUUUUAGUAAGUCUUCAGUAACACAUUUCCUAGGCCAGGUACUGUGCUAGGCACUGCUUCUGCAGCAAGCGAGCUGGGCACAUGAUCAGGCCCCAGUGUGUACAGUCUAGCCGUGGUGAUAAUGAAACAAGUGAAUGCAACUAAGUGAAGAGUGACAAUAGGAUGAUAGACAUCCCCAGAUUAUGGGAUUAUACUAUAUGGGACUUGCAUCACCCUCCAUGGACUAAACACUCUUAAUGUUUGGUUUUACUGCUUAGAAAGAACAAUGACUUAGGAACUAUGGAAGCAAAGUUAAUCUUUAUUUAGCUACUUUGGUCUCUCACUGAGUUACAAAGCUCUGUCUCUUCCACCCCUUGUAAUUUUGUUUCCAGUCCACGUGUGUAGCAAAAAUAGUUCAAACAAGGAUAAAAGUUAAUUUUUCUCUCAAGUAAAAACAAUGUAAAUAUAGGCAGUGAAGAGCUGUUAAAGCUAAACUCAGGAACCCUGGGCUCCUGCUAUUGCAGUGUUCCAUCAUCCGUAGGGCAUCCUCAAGGUUUAAUGUGGCUCCUAAGCAUUCUAGCCAUCACAUCAACAUUCCAGGUAGCAGGAUGGUGAAAAGGAUAAAGAAAGAGGGUAGCCUCUUCCCUAUAAGGAGAGUUCCCAGAGGUUACACACAAUACUUUCAUUUAUAUGUUUUUGGAGAAGAUUUAGACAUGUGGCCACAUCUAGCUGUCUUUUAGCUGGGUAUCUGUGUGCCUAGGUAAAAUUGAAGUAUUUCAUUCUAAAGAAGAAAAGGCAGAUGGAUUAGGGGCAAAUAGCAGCCCCUACCCUGUCAUGAAACACCACCCUGUGAUUUAACAGUCAUCAAGAUAAUGUCUUUUCAAUGUUCUCGAGGCUAAAGAAAAUUCCUUUUUAGAGUGAUACCUUCCAGUGCCUGAAUUUACCACCAAUUUACGCCAAAUCUCAUGAUGUAUGGUGAGAUUACUUCUGGGAAGGUUUUCUGUACAGUAUACAGUACACUAUUUUCUCUACAGGAUAAUAUUUAGUUGCAAGUGUCAGAAAACCAAAUCCCAACUAGUGUAAAAAAUAUUCCAAAUAUUCCAAAAUCUUGGAAUCAUGGCUUGAUUCAGAAGUUUUUGAAAAGUUUCCACCUCUUGGCUCCACCUUUGCCACAUGGGCUUAAUUUUCAGGCCAUACCCAUUUUAGUUCUGGUGGGUCUGGAUCCUUGGAGCCAAGUGCCCUCAAGAACUCUAGCCUCAUGCCUGCUCAAAUCCACUGGCUAGGAGAAAGCCCCUUUUUGCUAGCUCCUGCAAAGACCCUGAAGUUCAUGUUGAUUGGUUCUACUGAUUUGACAUCCCAAAUGUCUCCCCUGACCAAUCCAAUCUGUCGCCAGAAAUAGGAGAUGCGGCGAUUCACUGAGACCUGAGUCAUAAUAGUCCAUCCUUUUAACAUGGAGUAGACACCCUCCAGUCCAACCUGGGCUAAGAAGGAAAGACCUCCAAAAGAAAUUUGUGUAAGUAGGGGACACAGAGACUGGCAAAUUCCCUUCUGAGUUAUCAUCAACCUUUUAUUACUCCAAACAUUGCUGCCAAGAGCCCUUUUAGGAAUGUAUUGAAAAAAGAGAAAUGUAAAGUUUCUUGCCUCUGGGGUCCUGUGAAUCAAACUUAUUGUAAUUUUAAGAGCAUCUGCUCUUUAAACCAAUGAAAUACAAGGAAAUGCUAACUAUGAAAACCUGUCUAUAAUGAUGAGGGAGCAGAAGGCAAGCUGAGGACAAAGCACAAGCUGACAGCCCACACCUUUCCCCCCACUCCUAGGUAGGACCUGUGUGACCUUCCUCAGGCAUACUUGGCUGCCUAAAGCUAAGGGAAGGAAAAACUAAGGAAAAGCUAAGGGAAGAAAAAAAAGGUUAACUAUUAGAGAUCACAGUCCUGCAAGACAUGAGUCUCCCUCAGUUUACAAAAUGUCUUAGUAAUUUAAAAGAACAAAACAUUCUUAUCAAUAACUUAACUUCCAGAAGGAAAUGUAGAUAAAUUUAAAAGUUCUUAUAACCUGCAGCCCAUUGACAAGUACUUGAGUCAGGGAGAGUAUAAUGUUCCUCCAAGAAGCUCCCAAGUGUCUUAAUGUUAAUGCCUUGCUAGAAGGAAAAACAAUCUUAGCUUGACAAUGGCAAUGCCUCCAGUAUCUUGCAGGUCCUCGUUAGCCUAUGAAAGUUCUUUUGAAAAUCUCCCUUUUCCUUACCUCCCCUAACUCCCAAUUAUAGAAUCAAUCAUCCCUCACAACCCUGAGACAGCAGCUCUUUCUGCCCACGGUCUAGUUCCCAUGCUUUAAUAAAACCACCAUUUUGGGUUUUUUGUUGUUGUUUAUUUUUUUAAAGAUUUUAUUUAUUUAUUCAUGAGAGAGAGAGAGAGAGAGAGAGAGAGAGGCAGACACAGGCAGAGACAGAAACAGGCUCCAUGCAGGGAGCCUGACGUGGGACUGGAUCUCUGGACUCCAGGAUCACGAUCUGAGCCAAAGGCAUAUGCUCAACCACUGAGCCACCCAGGUGCCCCCAAGAAUUCUUUCUUGGUAGUUGGCUCUGGGCCUCCCCCUGCCAAACCUCACCUAUGUUCCAAAACUAUAUUAUAUAAUGUUGAUUUUGAUAUCCUAGACACUUAUCUCCUUGUGUUUUCAGUGACAGGAACCAAUUAGAAUUUUAAGUAGCUGUCUUAAGAAAAAACAAAGUUCUCAGGUUAUGAACAACCUAAUCUCUAUGGGUAUCUGGAUAUGGGUCAGUCACAGGAGUAUUGGGUGUAAAGCUGCUGUUUCUGCCUUUAGUUUUGCUGAGUGUCCAAGAGGAAAUGCCCUGCUUUUGGCUAAAGGACACACUGAACUUUUUUUGGCUAAAGGACACACGGAACUUUUUGGGUAGGCUGGAGAACUGGCUUGAAGAGGCGGGGUUUUUUUAAGUGUAGGCGCCACCUCGUGGGCAAUAAGUACAACUACAGCGCCAUCCUCCUAGAGGGAAUAGGAGAGACCCACCUGUCGGGGUCUUUCUUUCUUUUUUUUUUGUCGGGGUCUUUCAAAGGUGUUACAAAGGCGUUUUUUUGUUUGUUUGUUUUUUUGUUUUUUUGUUUUUUUAAAUGAAAUGCUCAAUUUUUAUUUAAUUCUGAUUCCAUAUGAUAUGGUUGACUCUUUGUCCAGGCAACAUUAGAAAGUACAUCCGGAAAACACAAAAUUGUGCUUAGCUGAAUAGUAACAGUAUCCUCAAAAAUAAGGGCAAUAAAUUUGCAAUUUAUUACUUAUUACUUAUUAUUGCAAGUUACUUAUUCUUAGGAAGAAAAGUCACUGUUUUACAGACGAAUGAAGCAUUUGUUAACAAUUUUGUCAAAGCCAGAUCAUUGAUAUUUUACCGGAGAGUUUGGUGCAUGCAAUGUUCACAUGCACUGAAAAAGCAAAGAAUAGUAUGGCCGUUCCUCAAAAAAAAAAAA